CAAUUUUCCAAUUCUCUAUAACAAAAAUUUUAAUCAAUUUUGAAGAACAAAAAUCAAAGCAAAAUGGAGUUCACAAGUUUAGUUGAUACUUCUCUGGAUUUGAACUUUAGACCUCUUCGAGUUUCCGAUGAAUUACCAAAACAGGAAGUUGAGAGUAAUUUCAUAGGACUUGGAAGAGAUCUGGUACCUGUAAAAGAUGAGGCAAGUAAUUUAAUAGAGGAACUAAAUAGAGUAAAUGCUGAAAAUAAGAAAUUGACGGAGAUGUUAACAGUUAUGUGCCAGAAUUACAAUUCAUUGAGGAACCAAUUGACGGAAUAUAUGAGCAAGCAGAAUAGUAGUACUAGUGGAGCUGAUCAGGAUCAGAACAGCGAUGGAUCGAAG
rnacentral:misc_RNA from 1 species